rnacentral:rRNA from 1 species
AUGUCGAGCGAUGGCGAAUCAACUGUUGCUGUCAAGCUGUUCAUCGACAAGGAGAACAAGAGGGUGCUUUUUGCGGAAUCUGACCAGGACUUCGUCGUCGUCCUCUUCAGUUUCCUCACCCUGCCCCUCGGCACCAUCGUUCGUCGCCUCGGUAAGCAGUCUCAGGUCGGGUGCCUCGACCAGCUGUACAAGAGCGUGGAGGAUCUCGGGGAAGAUCACUUCCACACGAAGCCAUGCAAGACCAUGCUUCUUAGUCCCCGCAAUGCCGCAGCAGGUCACUUACGCCGGCUUAAAGUCCAAGUUGACGACAUAGAUCAAUCACAGUUUUAUGCUUGCAGCCGUCAUAUGGGGUACUUCAGCUCAGUCCCUGACGUUAGUUGCCCGUUUUGUUUUACCAAUACCAUGGAUAAAACAAUUAGGGACUACAACAAUCCGGUAGAGAUUUUUGCCAAGAUGCGCACAAAGUUCAUCAUCACUGAUGAUCUCCAAGUUGCUCCUUCUUCCACUGGUCUCAUGUUUUCCCUGAUGGACAAACUUGAGCUCCAGGAACAAGAGAAUAUCGAGGAAGUGGUGCUACAACUCGACUCCAAUAAGACGGUUAGCUUGAUUGCAAGAGCAUUGCUGUCGAAGCAACCUUUAACUGGCCUGUAUUUUGAUGUUGCUACCACGCCCGAUGCCGCCACAAAUGUUUUUCAGCUUCUAGAGAAUUUGCUGGUAGAAGUAGCACAAGCAGAUGAGGCUGAGCCCAUGUUCAAAGCAAUAAAGAUGAGGCUUAUUCAGACAAAUGAUGACACGUUGGUGCUGUAUGCUGAAGUUGGGCAUGACUUUGUCGAACUUCUCUUUGGCCUUCUUUGCAUUCCACUUGGAUCCAUAAUCAAAGCUUAUGGUGAAUGGUCACCAAAUGGAUGCAUUGACAAUCUUUACAAGAGUGCGAAUGAGGAAGGAUGUGUAAAACAAGAAUGCCGAAGCUUGCUUCUAUCACCAAAGCUGCCCCCUUUCUUUGGCUGCAGCAGCAAUGUACUCCAAGUGGAAGAACUACCACCUAGAAGAGUCAAUGGCUAUAAUCACGAGAUGAAUCCAAAAAACCCAGUAAAAGUACUUGUAGGGCAUAUAUCAAGGAAGGUUCCACAAACUUUAUGGUGA